CGACAACUUAUACGUGUGCGAUAUAUCGCUUGCACGCAGAUGAAUAUCAAACGCUUUUGGAUAGCUGGAGACGUUGUACAUGUAGGAAUUUUUGUGGCAAAAAAAACCAUCUGUGACUAAAUCAGUCAAAUGCGGACAGCUAGGAAACUGAAGUAUGACAACAGAAAAGACCGCCUUCAUUCAUUUCUGUUGAGGGUAACUGAUGGUAAAAGUGAAAGAAACGGAAAAAAUCCAUGAGUUCAAGACUGCUACUCGACACCUGAGAGAAAGGACUCGGUUCCCUCUGCUGUUAAAACAGCCGGAAAAUAUGCAAGGGUGUGGUCAAAGGCUUUUAAAUGUUCGAAAAAAGCAAAAAAAAAAACCUUGUCCUUCCUGGAGGAAAAUGAAAUCAAAGGAAAAUCAGCAAAUAUGAUACAGUUUAAGUCACGUGAUAAAGCACGUAUCAAACACGACAAGGCUCGGCUAAGAUGAUCUCAUGCGCCUCUCGUGCGCUUAGAUCGGCCUCAACGAGAUCGCUUAAGACUUUUGGCCUUUUUUUUUGACAGUUACACCACGGAGUUCGAUUUUGGAGAAGGUUCCACUCAAAGAGACGCUUAGAUCUCGACCUUUUUAUCAUGGACGAGUGUCUAUUAAAGGAAUGGUCCUUAGUUAUCGCCUGUGGGGGUAGGGGGUAUCAGAGGAUUUUGGUUGUUUCAGGAUAAAAUUUACCUGAUCCCUUUAAG